CUACGGGUUGCACCAGUGGGGAAUAUUGCACAAUGGGGGAAACCCUGAUGCAGCAACGCCGCGUGGAGGAUGACGCAUUUCGGUGUGUAAACUCCUUUUAUAUCCCAAGAUAAUGACGGUAGGAUAUGAAUAAGCACCGGCUAACUCCGUGCCAGCAGCCGCGGUAAUACGGAGGGUGCAAGCGUUACUCGGAAUCACUGGGCGUAAAGGAUGCGUAGGCUGGAAAUCAAGUCAGGAGUGAAAUCCAACGGCUCAACCGUUGAACUGCUUCUGAAACUGGUUACCUAGAAUGUGGGAGAGGUAGAUGGAAUUAGUGGUGUAGGGGUAAAAUCCGUAGAGAUCACUAGGAAUACCGAUUGCGAAGGCGAUCUACUGGAACACUAUUGACGCUGAGGCAUGAAAGCGUGGGGAGCAAACAGGAUUAGAUACCCGGGUAGUC
rnacentral:rRNA from 1 species